UACAGAGGUCUCAAGCGUUGUUCGGAUUCAUUGGGCGUAAAGGGUGCGUAGGCGGCGCGGUAAGUCGGGGUGUGAAAUCUCGGAGCUUAACUCCGAAACUGCAUUCGAUACUGCCGUGCUUGAGGACUGGAGAGGAGACUGGAAUUUACGGUGUAGCGGUGAAAUGCGUAGAUAAUCGUAAGGAAGACCAGCGGCGAAGGCGGGUCUCUGGACAGUUCCUGACGCUGAGGCACGGAAGGUCAGGGGAGCAAACGGG
rnacentral:rRNA from 1 species